rnacentral:rRNA from 1 species
UACGGGAGGCGACAGUGGGGAAUCUUCCGCAAUGGACGAAAGUCUGACGGAGCAACGCCGCGUGUCGCGCAUCCGGUCUUCGGCUCGUCAAGCUCUGUUGUUAGGGCCGCCCCAGUCCCGGUCGUCACUGUCGGUACCUUGUCCGGUACCUCACCAGUCAAGCCACGGCUCACUCCGUGCCAGCAGCCGCGGUAAA